rnacentral:rRNA from 1 species
GACGAACGCUGGCGGCGUGCUUAACACAUGCAAGUCGAACGGAGUGGCGAACGGGUGAGUAAAAAGUGGGUGACCUGCCCUGCAAUUCGGGGUAAGCAUGGGCAACUGGGUCGAAUAACGGGAAGUGUGGGAGGGGCCCGCGGCCUAUCGGCUUGUUGGUGGGGUAAUGGACUAACAAGGCGGCGACAGGUAGCCGGACUGAGAGGGUGGACGGCAACCGUGGGCCAGAGACACGGCCCAGACACCUACGGGCGGCAGCAGUGGGGAAUAUUGCACAAGGGGCGGAAGCCUGAUGCAGCGACUCUGCGUGGGGGAGGACGGCCUUCGGGUUGAAAACUCCUUGUACCAUCGACGCGGUAGAUGGCGAAGAAGCACCGGCUAACUACGUGCCAGCCGCCGCGGUAAUAC